rnacentral:rRNA from 1 species
GAUGAACGCUGGCGGCGUGCCUAAUACAUGCAAGUCGAGCGAACGGACGAGAAGCUUGCUUCUCUGAUGUUAGCGGCGGACGGGUGAGUAACACGUGGAUAACCUACCUAUAAGACUGGGAUAACUUCGGGAAACCGGAGCUAAUACCGGAUAAUAUUUUGAACCGCAUGGUUCAAAAGUGAAAGACGGUCUUGCUGUCACUUAUAGAUGGAUCCGCGCUGCAUUAGCUAGUUGGUAAGGUAACGGCUUACCAAGGCAACGAUGCAUAGCCGACCUGAGAGGGUGAUCGGCCACACUGGAACUGAGACACGGUCCAGACUCCUACGGGAGGCAGCAGUAGGGAAUCUUCCGCAAUGGGCGAAAGCCUGACGGAGCAACGCCGCGUGAGUGAUGAAGGUCUUCGGAUCGUAAAACUCUGUUAUUAGGGAAGAACAUAUGUGUAAGUAACUGUGCACAUCUUGACGGUACCUAAUCAGAAAGCCACGGCUAACUACGUGCCAGCAGCCGCGGUAAUACGUAGGUGGCAAGCGUUAUCCGGAAUUAUUGGGCGUAAAGCGCGCGUAGGCGGUUUUUUAAGUCUGAUGUGAAAGCCCACGGCUCAACCGUGGAGGGUCAUUGGAAACUGGAAAACUUGAGUGCAGAAGAGGAAAGUGGAAUUCCAUGUGUAGCGGUGAAAUGCGCAGAGAUAUGGAGGAACACCAGUGGCGAAGGCGACUUUCUGGUCUGUAACUGACGCUGAUGUGCGAAAGCGUGGGGAUCAAACAGGAUUAGAUACCCUGGUAGUCCACGCCGUAAACGAUGAGUGCUAAGUGUUAGGGGGUUUCCGCCCCUUAGUGCUGCAGCUAACGCAUUAAGCACUCCGCCUGGGGAGUACGACCGCAAGGUUGAAACUCAAAGGAAUUGACGGGGACCCGCACAAGCGGUGGAGCAUGUGGUUUAAUUCGAAGCAACGCGAAGAACCUUACCAAAUCUUGACAUCCUUUGACAACUCUAGAGAUAGAGCCUUCCCCUUCGGGGGACAAAGUGACAGGUGGUGCAUGGUUGUCGUCAGCUCGUGUCGUGAGAUGUUGGGUUAGGUCCCGCAACGAGCGCAACCCUUAAGCUUAGUUGCCAUCAUUAAGUUGGGCACUCUAAGUUGACUGCCGGUGACAAACCGGAGGAAGGUGGGGAUGACGUCAAAUCAUCAUGCCCCUUAUGAUUUGGGCUACACACGUGCUACAAUGGACAAUACAAAGGGCAGCGAAACCGCGAGGUCAAGCAAAUCCCAUAAAGUUGUUCUCAGUUCGGAUUGUAGUCUGCAACUCGACUACAUGAAGCUGGAAUCGCUAGUAAUCGUAGAUCAGCAUGCUACGGUGAAUACGUUCCCGGGUCU